rnacentral:misc_RNA from 1 species
AACGCAACUCAAGCGCGGCUUGUGUGUUGGGCCAUCGUCCCCACGCGCCCCUCGUGCGCGGCCAGGGACGGGCCUGAAAGGCAGUGGCGACGUCGCGGUCUCCCGCGAUCAGCCCGAGCGUAUGGGGCUCUGUCAUCACGCUCGCGGCGCGGACCGACGUCUGCCUCAAACUCUUCUCUCUCAG